CCACUUGGCAAGUUCAUCAUUGGCAGGAGUGACAGUAGCAGCAGCUUUCUUUGAAGGAGGAGGUGGUGCUGCCUUCUUCUUACCAAAGAGAGCCACGGUCUUGAAGGGAGUCUGAG